rnacentral:rRNA from 1 species
CUACGGGGGGCAGCAGUGAGGAAUAUUGCACAAUGGGGGGGAACCCUGAUGCAGCAACGCCGCGUGGAGGAUGACGCAUUUCGGUGUGUAAACUCCUUUUAUAUGUCAAGAAAAUGACGGUAGCAUAUGAAUAAGCACCGGCUAACUCCGUGCCAGCAGCCGCGGUAAUACGGAGGGUGCAAGCGUUACUCGGAAUCACUGGGCGUAAAGGACGCGUAGGCGGGUUGGAAAGUCAGGUGUGAAAUCCUACAGCUUAACUGUAGAACUGCACUUGAAACUUCUAAUCUAGAGUAUGGGAGGGGAGAUGGAAUUAGUGGUGUAGGGGUAAAAUCCGUAGAUAUCACUAGGAAUACCUAAAGCGAAGGCGAUCUCCUGGAACAUUACUGACGCUAAGGCGUGAAAGCGUGGGGAGCAAACAGGAUUAGAUACCCCGGUAGUC